CAUAUUGGUGCAUGUCAUAAUCUCAAAGAAGGGCUUCUUCCGUGCUAGAAACAAUCCCGCAAACCAUGUCAUUUGAUUUUGAAUUAGUAUUUGGACUCUUGCAUGUAAAACCAGGUUUAUCCAUAUCAAAUGCUUUUUAGUAACCAGUGGCAUGAUUGUGUUAGUAUUCUUCAAUAUUUCAUGCCAAAUCUUUGUUAGAAAUGAGAAAAAUUGGGAACUUUGCCUAUGAUCAUACAAUCUGGUGUCUGUGAUGAAUUUGAUGUGCUGUUUAUAAAUACUUUUGUGAAGAACAUCAUGUUGAUUUUCAACCUCUUAUCAAUUGAAAAAAAAUGGUUGUGUAUGCAAUAAGAUCUUGAUUCCGCUGUAUUCAUGCAUUGCAUGUUAGACAACCCUCUUCCUCUCUUAGUUACAAUUACUGUUUUUUGCCUCCCAGACGCUAGAAAUGUUGGAGAAGAAAGAACUUGUUCUUUAGAAGAAAAUUUCCAUAGAAAUUCAGAAAGCCAAGGACUUUACAAAGUCAAAAAAGAAAAGAAAAGAGGUAUGCAUUUGUUUUGAUUAUGCUCAUCAUGAUUUUGUUAUACCUUACUUCAUAACCAAAUUAAUGUAUUAUCCUAUUGGUGUUUAUUCUCCUACUGAUCCACUGGCUUUGAAAGAAACUCAAUAUCCAAUGCACUCUCUCCAUGAGGUUGUUUAACACUUAUUAUUAUUAUUAUUAUUUUUAAUUAUACACAUGCAUUCACACCUUAACACACCCAUGUACUCUUGAAGCACUCUCUUCAUUUGAACAGGGUACAAAAGGUGAAGCAUGGGUUCAGCACGAGGGUUCCAAGAUCGAUGUUGAGGUUCUUCAAUCAGUGAGAUUUUUCCAUGUAUGAAUUACUACUCGGAGAGCUUGUCUCACAAAUUUGGUACAUCGAAUUGGCCGCCAAUACCUUUGUAGGCCAUUCACGUGACCAAUUUUCGGAGAUCAUGGUCAAGCCAUUUAUCAUAAAUGUCAAUACCAAGCCAGAAGUUUUCCCAAUCUGUCCACUACAUAUCAAACAUUUCAAACUGUCCAUUGAUGGUUGUGAAAUGUGAGUUACUAGUUGUCCCUGCAAGGGAAUUACCAUCUGAGGAACAUGAGAAUGCAUGCAUGAAAUUUGAGUUGCUGGUUUUUUUUUUUCCUACUGUUUGAAAGGGAUUCUUAGAUGAGCAAUGCAUAGCUGCAGCAGUUGCAAGAUGAGAGCGUCCCAGAUUUUGUUUUUGAAGUGGUGUCUCUCUUCUUUGAUGAUUCUGAGAAGCUUCUUAAUGAUUUGAGUAGAGCUCUAUGAGGAAUUUGCUUCUCUCUCUCUCUUGUUGGAUAUUGAAAAGCUCACUAUUUCUAUAUUUUUCUUUUCUUGAAGAGAUCAACAGCCUGU